UGGGGUGUCGUCUAAUCCGGUAGGACGCGACUCUUUGAAAGUCUCAAUUCUGGUUCAACUCCAGACACCCCAG
rnacentral:tRNA from 1 species